CCGGCUGCUUGCUCGCUCCCCGUCUCCGUCCCCUUCCCCUUCGCACUCCGCCUCCGAGCGUCGCGACUGGCGCGCAGUCGAAAACAGCCAAGCCCGGGCGAAGCUGGCCAGCCGGCAGCCGCCGCUCCGGAGCUCCGCCCGCAACUCCCAUGCCGAGGAGGCGAGAUCCUCGACGGGGUCACCGCCUGGGCGCUCGCUCUCCUGCCAAGAUAUGGAAGAACAAGAUACUGAGGCUACCGCUGGAUUCUGACUCUUCCGCCGUCGCCUUCCUUCACCAUCUCGCUCCCAGCUUUCUGUGGACUUCCCGAUUUGCUGAAAAUCUGCAACAGUGUGGAAAAGGAAUGAAACUUCUUGGAACUGGAUUACAGGUGAUGGCAUCAGGAGAACAGGCGACGCAGCAUUGCAGGAGAGCAGCAUUCCCUUCAUGCCUCCGGUUAGCUUAGAAGAGGCCAAUGAUACGCCUGACAAGCGGCUAGAGCACCGAACAUUGAACCCAAGUCUCCAAAGGCUUAAGUGAUAUUUAUCUACCAGUUUGCUAGACGCAGACAUGAAUAACUCGACGAACAUAAGCUAUUUGGAGGAUGUGAUGCCUCUGGGGAGUCCUUAUAAAACAGUUGAGGUAGUAUUCAUCGUCCUGGUGGCUGGCUCCCUCAGUCUCGUGACCAUCAUUGGGAACAUCCUGGUGAUGGUGUCCAUUAAAGUCAACAGGCACCUGCAGACUGUCAACAAUUACUUUCUUUUCAGCUUGGCAUGUGCGGACUUGAUCAUCGGUGUCUUUUCCAUGAACCUGUACACACUUUACACUGUGAUUGGCUAUUGGCCGCUUGGACCUGUGGUUUGUGACUUGUGGUUGGCUCUUGACUAUGUGGUCAGCAAUGCCUCCGUCAUGAACCUUCUCAUUAUCAGUUUUGACCGAUAUUUUUGCGUCACCAAGCCUCUGACUUACCCUGUCAAGCGGACCACUAAGAUGGCAGGUAUGAUGAUCGCCGCGGCCUGGGUGCUGUCGUUCAUCUUGUGGGCACCCGCAAUUCUUUUUUGGCAGUUCAUUGUAGGGGAGAGGACUGUCCCCGAUGGGGAAUGCUACAUUCAGUUCCUGUCCAAUGCAGCCGUCACCUUUGGCACAGCGAUUGCCGCUUUCUACCUGCCUGUUAUCAUCAUGACUAUUCUUUACUGGCAAAUAUCUCGCGCCAGUAAGAGCAGGAUUAAAAAAGACAAAAAGGGGAGUGGGCAAAACCAGGAUCCAGUUUCUCCAAGCUUGGUCCAAGGUAAAAUAGUAAAACCAAACAAUAACAAUGUUCCAACUAAUGAAGAUGGGGUAGAACAUGGUAAAAUUCAGAAUGGUAAAGCCACAGGGGAAUCAGUGAUGGAAAACUGUGUUACUGCAGAGGAGAAGGAAAGUUCUAAUGACUCCACCUCUGUCAGCGCUGUGGCUUCCAAUGUGAAAGAUGAUGAACCCAUCAAAGAGGACACCAGGGCUUCUGCCUCCCAAGUCAAUGCCAAAGUGGAGAACUCCAAAUUGACAUGUAUUAGGAUACUCACAAAGUCCCCGAAAGGUGACUGUUCUGGUUCUACCAACACGACCGUGGAGAUUGUAGGUCCCGAUGGGCAAAAUGGAGAUGAGAAGCAGAACAUUGUAGCACGUAAGAUUGUCAAGAUGACUAAGCAGCCUGCCAAAAAGAAGACACCUCCUUCCAGGGAGAAAAAGGUGACCAGGACUAUAUUGGCUAUUCUCCUGGCCUUCAUCAUUACCUGGACACCAUACAAUGUCAUGGUCCUCAUCAACAGCUUCUGUGCGUCUUGCAUCCCCAACACAGUAUGGACCAUUGGUUACUGGCUGUGCUAUAUCAAUAGCACCAUCAAUCCUGCCUGCUAUGCGCUCUGCAAUGCUACCUUCAAGAAAACCUUUAAGCACCUCCUUAUGUGUCAUUACAAGAACAUAGGAGCUACAAGGUAAAACAGUAAUAAGCGGGGUGUGGGGAAGGGAGAAGGAAGUUCAAAGUUUUAUAAAACUAUGCCACAGCACUUUAUGCUCUAGAAUGAAACCAAGAAGGCUAUAGGACACAUACUGAUGGGAUGGAGGGGGGGACAACAUGUGCUCCAUCUCCGACAACUACACUUCAGAGAUCACCACUUUUCUGUCAGUGAAUCACUAGGAGGCAGGAAAGGGUGGGCAGGCCAGCUGAGGAUAUGAACUUGAGGCAACAUGCCCAGAUCUCUGGUAGUCUCAUGCAGAAGGGCUUUUGAAUCCAUUCUUCUUUGGGGAAGCGUUCUCUUGUGUGAAGCCCGUUUAGGUUUGCUUCAUCUGAAAGGGAUCUGCACAAAAGCACUGGCAUUUCAGUGAGAAGGACAACCCCACUGAGGGUUGCAUCUUUGUCAGUUCUUCUGGCCUGGCAGUUGCUAGUUUUGUUUGUCUGUGUGUAUGUUCACUUGAAAACAGUGGUGGUGGGGGAAUCGUUCAACAAUAUCCUUCCUGUAUGGAACGCUUCAAUGACUGGAAGAGAGAGACACGGAACAGUCCAAUCAGCUCAACAGAUUCCAUAAUUUUAAAAAGUGGUGGGAUUUGAUGGAUGUUACUAUUAAUUAUUUACCUCUCUCCUGCUGCUUGAAUCUGCAUCAGAAAAAAAAUAGUAUAUUACCUCAUAACGGGCAUGGUUUCAGCCAGGCUUUUAAGCACACGCUACACUUGCUCCAUCUUAAGUCAAGAAGACUUAAAAGUGCUGGGAUUUGGCUAGGUUGCAACCACUGGAAGCCGUGAUUGGUUAACAGGUGCCACAUGGUAACUGAUUCUUCCUUUUUAACUGGGUCAGACUUCACAUAGCACCGAUGGGCAGUCCAAUGGAGUGGGAAAAUGGAACCAAGUGGCCCCUUUAUCAUUUGGCAAGCCACAGUGACUAGCCAAAGGCUUUUGAAAAUGAAGCAUUGGGGGCAUUUGCAGCCCAGUCAGUUUGGUCUGUGAAAUGGCAAAACAUCCCAAUGAGUCUCUUUAGCUUGUGCACUUCAGAAAGAAAAAUGGUCCCCAUUGAAUUUUGCCCAUCCAUCUCACCUCUUAAUUUUAUGUUUCCUGCUCAUUAAGCAAAUAAAUCUUCAUAAGUUUUUUGUUUCCAAAAACUACCUUUGUACAGGUUCUUCUCCCUGCCCACCCCCAAAAUUGGGAGAUACGAAACACCAACUGUUUGAAGUUCACUAAACAAAUAAAUUGAUUAGUUAUCUCAGUAUGUAGUCUUCCAAAGUAAGAUUUCAAAAUAGUAGCUUUUUCAUUGAGGCACCACACCUUGUAGGCUUUGUUUACAAGCCCAAGUUCUCAGUAACAGAUGUGGUAUACCUGUCACUGUGCUGUAUCACUUUAGAUCCCAAGUUGUGGGGUGGGAGAGACAGACUGGAAUCCAUUCUGGGGGGGCGGGAUCCCUACACAUAGGUUGUGUUCAGAUGAAACAUUCACUGAUUCUCCAAAUCAUGGUUUGGAGCCAUGUACCCAGCCAUCAUGGUGUCCUCCAGAUAUUGUUGGACUACAACUCCCAUCAUUCCUGACCAUUGAUCAUACUGGCUGGGGAUGAUGGAGUCCAGCAACAUCUGGAGGUACCACAUUGACUACAUCUAGUUAGGAUGCUUAGAAAUUAGCCACUUAUGUUCAUACUCCCACCUGUUCCCCUUGCAUUCACCGCUUAAUAGAUUUUGUGAAACAAACAUUGCCUGUGACAUCUGAAACAGCAAACUAGUAUGAAAGAUUCCUCCAUACCAAUAUUCAAAAUAUUGUAUGCAAACCCUGAUUUGGAAGAAUCAUUCAAACCACAUCUUAUCACUUCAGAUAUCCUGUGACUUGACAAAAAUGGGCAUACAAGGAGGCAGGAGGGAACACAUGAAGACAAGGCUUGCUCCUCUUCCUGCAAACAAUUAUUUGGAUGUGACUUCUGAAUGCAGUUGUAGAAAACUGACAUGUCAAAAAGGAUUCUAGCAUCGUCUUCCAUCUAAUGUUUUAAGUAGAAGGAAUUCAGGUUUAUACAGAGGAGUAUUGAAUCACAUAAACCCCAAACAUCUAAAACAGUACAGCCUGAAUUAACAUUUACCACCUCAGCCAAAACUAGGCCUUUGUUGCAUUGCAAUAAGACUUGUAGAAUGCUCAGUAGGCAAGAGAAAACGGAACACAAAAAAUCCAUAUUCACUGGGUGUUAUUUGGGGACCAGAUCAGUUUAGAGCUAUGAUAGGUUUGUUCUGCAAACAUCAGCAGUGGUUCAAAAAAAUUUUUUCCAAGCCAGAGAGGGACAGGGAGAGGGAGAGGGAGAGGGAGAGGGAGAGAGAGAGAGAGAGAGAGAGAGAAUUUUGAUUUAUUACACACAUCUUAUAAAAUGUGCAGUGAAAUUCACAGAAGUUCCAUUUGCAUCAAUUGCUGUUGGAUCACAAAAAGGGAGAGCAGCAAAGGCCAUUAGGUAGCCACUGGGGCAGCAGACUGAACAGGCACGCAAGUCACAUGUUUAUAGUCUUCCCUGCUAUGGUGAGAUGUAGUAUAUUUCUAUUUAAAUUAUAGUGAUUCUUUCUACAUUUGUACCUAUGCAUAUAAAUCAACACAUGCAAAUUUUAUGUAGAAUAGAGUCCUCCUUUGUAUUCUUUUUUAAUGAUGCAUCCCCAGAAGGUGGGUUGCUAUUGCUUACCAUCAGGGAGAGGAGCAAGGCAGCAGUGAGGUAGGUGAGGUGCAAAUGUAUUGGCAGGAGCACCAGAUUGGCUCUGCCAGUGUGUUUGCACCGCACCAACUUCCCUACUGCCUUAUCCCUCCUCCUCCUGGCAAUUGCUGAAAUAGCAAUCAAAACAACAGAGCAAAUGCCUCAGUACUUCAAUUCUCCCCAAUCCUGCUUUGAAGUACAAACAAUGCAGAUGCCUGAGAGAACCAAAAUGCUUGGAAGAUGAUGCCUAAAAGAUAAGAAACUAAGGGCUGUGAGGUCCGUCUUUACAAGGAAAAUUUUUGAAUUAAAGUUCUAACAGCAUCUUACUUUGCCUUAUUUUUCUCUUCCCUUGCUUUGUUCUUAUCAUCCCUAUGCCAUAUAUAUAUAUAUAUAUAUAUAUAUCUCAGAGGGAGGUUAUUUUCUGUGAUUCAGAAAAUAAAUUAUAUUUUCAUACAUAUCCCAUCAUACCCGUCUCAGUCAUAGGUUUGUCUCCAACUUUAGUCAUAGUGAGAGUAGACCCACUGAAAUCAAUGGAUUUACUUAAGGCUAUUGGGUUGUUUCUAACUAAAUCAUACUCAGAGUAGACCCAUUGAAAAUCAAUGGAUCUGAGUUAGCCAUAUUACCUUUUAAGUUUUGAGCAUGUAGAAACUGCAGAAGCAUCUGAAAGUGUUAUCACUUCAUUCACUUACCAGAGCAAGGAAGGUCUGUCAAUUUCACUCUGAUAAAGAACACCAUCACUCCUGUUCUGAAAACAAUCUCAAGCUAUGCUCUUCUGUAUUCCCCCUCCAUUACGCACUGCUCACACGAGACAGAAUAACUGCAGAUAUACACAAUGAAUAGAUGUAUCAUAUAUUUGUACAAUACUAAUCCAACUCUCUUCCCUUGUCUGACAAUCAAAACUAUUCACCCUUUAAGGAUUCAUGCUUCUCUCCCUCCGUCUUUGAAAACUGAUAGAUUUUUAAUUCAUUCUGGUGGGUGGGGCUGGGGCUGGGAAUCAAUAAGAGCAGAACCAUUGAAACAAAUCCCUCCUGGCUACUUAAUGAUUUCACCUUUCAAGUAAAGAUUAAGUCAUUGGGAAUCUCUAAAGGGAUUGUUCAAUUUCUCAUGGCUUUCCUUGUUGUCUCAGGCCUACAUGGCUCCUUGGCAUUCACACCAUGACAUCUCCCCUUUUGAAGUCUGCUUCUGUUGGAUGUAAAUGCAAUUUCUUCUCUUUUUUUAAAAAAAAAUGGUGCCUUUGAGCUUCCCAAUUGUCACUUGACUCCUGACUGCUUAGCAGGUUGACAAAGUCAAUUACGUGUUCCCAACUUGCUGCAGCUUUUGACUGGGCACUGCAGUGAAAGAGACGAAAGAAUCAUUGGCAGCAAUAAUAAACCCUACCUCUGUUUGCAGAAUCUACACACACUGAGAAAGGAUCCUGCACCCCUUUACUUGGGAUCCUUUUCCUUGCAUGCAAACAAGGCAAAAUUGGAAGGUUAAGCUAUCAAUUAGCCUUACUCAUUGAAGGAAGGAUGACCAGCCCUAUGAUUUUCCCAAAUGAGAUUUGUAUGGAGAAAACAAGUAGGUUAUUUCUAGGCUAUGUUGCCAAGAGAGGAUGCACUAUUGAUGUUCUAUACCAAUCAUUCUUGAAUGGUGACUGAUCACCAACCAGCUGCAGUCAGUGGGAAGGUGGAAUUUACCUGACCUCCCAUCAUCAAGAGGGGUAGGGGUGAGGCCAGUGUGCUGCAGAUCCAACUUGACAUUCCUGCUGAUGUGCUUGCAUCACACUAACCUCACCAACUAUCUCUUGCCUCUCCCUCCCAGUACAGUGCAGUGACACUGGUGAUGGGAGGUCAAAUAAGUGCUCCCACUGCACCUAUUGCUGCUGUCACCAACAAGACCGUAUCAUAUCAGGAAUAAUUUGUGAGCAUCUAAAUCACUCUGAAAGGGUCACUUGCAAGAAUGCGUCUCAUUCAGUACUGAUCCAUAGCACUGUCCACAACCUUGGGUCCUCAGAUGUUGGUGGACUGUAGGUCCCAUCAUAUUUGACUAUUGGCUGAGCUGGCUGGGAGUGAUGGGAGUUGUAGUCCAACCACAUCUGGGACCUCAAGGUUGAAGAACACCAAUCUAUAGCAUAUGCCUUCCACCCAUCUGUUUCUCUGAUGAAUCUAUUUGUAAAUCAAAAGUGUUUCAUGGGAUAAAGUAACUGCAUUAAUGAGACAGGGUGGCCACAUAAGACAUAUAGCAGAAAUCAAGCUGAAGCUUUUUAUUGGAUGGAGAUAAAUGGGGUCACCUGUAAACUUCUACAGAUCAAACUGAUGUUUAAUUAAUGGCAACAGGCAAAUUCAAAAGUCGGCAGCUCCUAGUCCCAUUUUUCUUCUUUUUAACUCCCAGGCAAUAGCUAUAUAAAUCUGUGAGGAGCUCCAAAAACAAUGCAUCUUUCCCCUGAGGGAUAUAUGUGCAAGUUUCUGAUUCAGAUGCUAUAAAGGGAGAGAGACAAAAGUAGAAAUGUGACACAAUUGUGCUUCCUGUCCUCAGCCCCUUUGCCUACUUCAGUGUUGCAUCCAAAGCCAUCAACACAACCCCUACAAUUGCUUCCCGUUUUGAAACAUUAUCAUCAGACGUUUUGAAGGAAGCGGAAGCAAUUGAAAUAGAUUCCCCAGCCUGCUUCCCCUAGCAAUAGCCUUCUUUCCAGUUUCCAUAUAUUGUUUCAAUGUGUCUGAACUGUAUCAUGUGAAAACCCUAUUUCUGGCAAGUGGACAUUUUACCAAAACAUUGUAGAUUGAUUCCUAAAGGGUUUUGCAGCGUGGAAUGACAAAAUAUUUACCUGCAUUGAAACAAAACUGGACUUUGGUGUGGAUGGAAGCAAUCUUAUGGCAGCUUACCAAAUUUAGGCCUCUCUCGUGUGAGGCAUCCUUUAGGCAUUUCAUUCUUGCAAUGUUUGAAGGUCUCAGCCUAGUGGGAGCUGGAGUGUACACCUCUGAACUUAGCUGGGACAUUACUACGUGGGAAGGUUGGCCCUAUUCAAGAAGCCAAGAGCUUUCAAUUGUACCUGAAGUCAGUCUCAUAUUUAUAUAUGUAGCAAGAUAGUAAAAUCCAUUUCAGGUUGAGUGUUCACAUAGCUACCAUUUCUAAAACAGAAAGCAUAUUGCAGAAAUGUGGAGAAACACUUGUCUCGAGGACAGGGCUGGCAUUGGCACACAACAUGUUUGGGCAAGGCCUGGGGCCACUGCAGCUGAGGGCUAUAGUAGCAGCCAUUUUCUUCCUUUCAUUGGCUUUGGAUCUAGUCCCUGACAUAGCAUUCCUCUAGGCUUGUUCAGACAAUACAAUGAACACAAGUAUAAGCUGUCUCUACCCAUGCACAAGUGUUUGUGUGAGAGUGUACUCUUUUUGGUUUGUACAGCUCAGCGGUUGUGUACACGGGCUGCACACUCAUGAACCAUCACAAGUGAAGAGUGUUGUGACAGCCAAACUGUGUACACAUCUGUGUACAGACCAAACACUUGUUGAAUGUAAUGUGUGAACACACUUGCAACAGAGGCACUGUGGGGGCAUUAUGAGGGCAACAUUGCAGUCACACAGCCCAGUCCUUCUCUCAGCACCAUGUCCCACCCCUACAAACUUUCUGUGGUGGUGGGUGGGUGACCAGCCACUAGAGUGGUGCUUGGGUGGGUAUGAAUUGGGAGAAGGAGGCUCUUGAAGGCUCUACUUCUUCAAGAAAAGAAAUUGUCUCCAAUACUGGGCCUAUUCAGAACAGCCCCAUUGAAAUUAAUGAACAUGUCUAACUUAGGCCCAGUUAUCAACUCUAGGUACAACUCCAAACCCCACUGGGUGUGCCCAACAUCUUGCAUGCCCCUCAAGUUGCUAAAAGAAUCGGCAUUUUGUACAAAAUUAUUCACUUCUACCUAAAGCAGUUUAAUUCUACUGGAUUCAAUGUGACAAAGGCCCAGUUUUUGUGUCAUCCUGUUGGUGGGAUGGGCAUUGGGAAGACAGAACAUCUGGGCAGCUAGAUGCUGCACGAUUCACAUGAAGGCAUACUCGCAUGGUACUCCCUAUAGUAAAAGGCUUCUCUGGCAUGAUUAUGGCUCAAUUGGGCAAUGAGAGAUGCUCUCCUAAUCAUGGAGAUAGCCUUCCAAAUCACAUGGGGGGGACCUCCUGGCAGCCAAUAUCCUGGUGGAAUAAUGAAGCAAGCAUGAACAGAGUUAACACAUGGUUUCCUAUUGUUGAUUACGGAAAGAACCAUGUUCCAGAGUGGGUUCUUCCCUCCCUACCCUUCGCCAUAGCCAGCAAGAAGUAACUGCAGGUGCUCACCAUCCUCAAGACAAAGAAGGGGAUGUUGUGUCAUAUGAUCACAGGCAAGAAUGUGGUAUGAAAAACCUUACAUGUUGGAAAAGUUCUGGUCCCAGUAUCCAUUGUGGAGAAAUGUAUCUUAUCAUGUGUUUGAUGUACUCACACUUUGACCAAAUGAUGUUUAAUUACUGGAAAUAGACAGUUGAGAAAUGGGGGAUCCAACUGUGUUUCCCCAGCCCUGCCAAAGGGACAAACUUGAGAGUGACUGCAGACAAACUCCUUUAUGCCCUCCUACCGUAUCUUCUGGGAGGAUACAGGAUGUCUGGAUGCCACAGGUGAUUCCAUGUCAUCUUUACAGUUGCACCCCAAAGAUUGGUCAUCCUGUACCAAACUGCAUAAUAGUGUUAGUAAGGGGCUGCCAAGGGUCAUUAAUAAAUGGACUUUCAACAAUUUAUCUGUAACUACUGGUGCCAUAUUGAGGAGGACAGUGUUGAGCUAGAGGCUAAAUACCAUCUGUAAAUACCUACCAGUGACGUGUUUUGACAUGAUCCAACCAUCACUUGGCUAUGUACAGAUAUAAUACAACACCUGUAAUAUUGUUGAACUUUUGAGUUACAAUGUAAAUAAAGCUACAAUGAAUGUCUGAUUACUCUUCAAACUAUAUGUACGAGGAAGGGUGCAAUCCUUCCUGAGAUCUUUUGGGUUGUGUUUUGGGUUUUCACUUUUCCUUUCCUUUUCUUUUUAAAAUCCUGUUGUUCCUUUACAAAGGCUAGAAUUCUUGUCUUAAAAACUACUGUAAGAAUGAGAGAGUGCAUUACUCAUAAAGGAUGUGUGGACACUGACGGCAAGGAAGAUAAUGAGCUGAAUUAAGAUCAUUAUUGGCAAGGCUGCUGGGUCCGGGCUGCAUUCUUGAUGAUGCCGUAUCUUUGAUCUCAUAGAAAUAAGAUAAGCACAAAUGUUAUGGUUGACUUUGCAAAGCCCAACCAUCGUAAUAUACAUAUAUACAUAUAUAUAUUAUAGAUAUAUAUUUAUAUAAUCUGUAUAGAUAUACAUAUAAUUUACACAGUAUUCAUGCAGAGAAAGUGAAGCAUGAUGGAGAGAGAUACCUCUGAGAAUCUGUACAUAAUGUUGCCAUCCAUCCAAGGUGGAGGGUAUGGGAGGAAAGAUCACAGGAUUCAGCAUUAGUGACAUUACGAUGCAUUAUGCAGGAUAUGUGGAGCUGUAACCCAUUCAGAGGCCAGGGCUUCAACUUAAGAAACCUCAUGUGGGGCUGAAUUGAAGAGAAUCUGAAAUAUUUUGGAGACACACACAAAAAUCUACAUGCAAUAUAUGUGUAUGUACUUCUGCCAAGUUGUAUUCCUAGUUUGAGCAUUGCAUUAAGAAGCAAAAUAUACUAACUAAUAAAAAUGUUUUUGUAUGUGGUA